AGAAUCAACACAAUCAGACCUCCAACGGAUAUGCCAGCUCGGCUCCUCCACGUUUGUUACGGACUUGUCAAAAUGUUCGGCUGCUUACGGCAAGUGCUGCAUGAUCAAACCGCUGAACACCGAGUCCUCAGUCAUGUGUAAUGCGUGCAGUUUUGAAGCUUUUUCAUCAAACACGAGGAGCGAACGAACGACCUCAAUUAGUUUUUCCAAUACGAUCUCUAAGAUAUCAACAGCAAGUUGACCUCACAGAAUUUGUUGGAGUUCCUCAACGGCAUCUGGUCAACCGAUGACGCUUUAAACAAACAAAACGUGAGUAGAAAAUCAUUUAUUUCGUCGCAUUUUGUAAUAUAAACCGUAAUUCGAAAAAAAAGUCAUCAAGAAAAAAAAUGGAGCAACACAUCAACUUCCUAGUAAGCUUAUUUGAAGCUGCAAUUGUGUGUAGUUAGAAUAUAUUUAACUUAACUAACUAACUUAAAUAUCUUUAUACGUUACUUCGUUGGAUUUAGAGUUUGAUGAGUUUCAAUAUGCUUUAAUUUGUCUUAUAGCAUUUGGAAAUGCAUGUUAAAGUUUUGUAUUGAGUGUUUAUUCAUUCAAUAAAAAGCUUUAAGCAUGGAUUUCUAGCAUGCAUCCCAGACAAUACACAUCCCAAAGCUUAUGAAAAUUACAUCAGAUUCUAGAUUCAACGGAGUAAAAAAAAAUGUUCGAUUGGGUAAAUUUACGUAGAUUUCAUCGGAAAUUUACAUGUUUUCGUAGCGCUUUUGGUUCGGCACGAUUACAUUGGAAGGCACUUAAAUUUACAAUGAAUUUGAUGUAAAUUCGCAUCAUUAAUGACGUGCACUUUUGGUACAUCAUAAAUGAUGUAAAUUUAUCGGAUUAUUUUUUU